rnacentral:rRNA from 1 species
UUAUCCCUACGGGGGGCAGCAGUGAGGAAUAUUGGUCAAUGGUCGGGAGACUGAACCAGCCAAGCCGCGUGAGGGAUGAAGGUACAGAGUAUCGUAAACCUCUUUUGUCAGGGAACAAAGGCGGGGACGCGUCCCCGGAUGAGUGUACCUGAAGAAAAAGCAUCGGCUAACUCCGUGCCAGCAGCCGCGGUAAUACGGAGGAUGCGAGCGUUAAUCGGAAUUACUGGGCGUAAAGCGUCCGUAGGCGGCAUGCCAAGUCAAGGGUGAAAUCCCCGCGCUCAACGUGGGAACUGCCUUUGAAACUG